rnacentral:rRNA from 1 species
UACGUAGGGGGCUAGCGUUGCCCGGAAUCACUGGGCGUAAAGGGCGCGUAGGCGGCGUUUUAAGUCGGGGGUGAAAGCCUGUGGCUCAACCACAGAAUGGCCUUCGAUACUGGGACGCUUGAGUAUGGUAGAGGUUGGUGGAACUGCGAGUGUAGAGGUGAAAUUCGUAGAUAUUCGCAAGAACACCAGUGGCGAAGGCGGCUCACUGGCCCGAUACUGACGCUGAGGUGCGAAAGCGUGGGGAGCAAACAGG